GUUUUCACAUAAGUUAUAAAAAAAAAAUUAACAUUUUAUUAAUGAUUUUUAUACCAAGUCACAAUUUGAAUAUUUGUUUAGUGUAUGAACGCUUUAACUUAUGUUAAGAAAAAAAAAAUAAAAUAAAAUAACUAGAAGUAAAAUAAUUCGAUACAAAAUGGUUAAAAAUAAAAAGAAAGUUACUGUAAAAAGUUGUAAUACAUUUACUCAUCUGUUGCUUGGGCGCUUAAGCGUUUGUUCGUUCGGUCGGUCGUUCAUUCAUUCAUUCAUCCUUUUUUUUUUUUUUUUUUUUUCAAACAAUUAUUUUCCGUUUUUUUAAAAAAAAAUUCACAUAUUUUAUAUAUAUAUCAGUGCAAUGAGCUUGACAUACUGAUUAAGCAAAAACUGAUAUUAGAAAGUUAGUUAAAUUGAGUUUUUUUUUUGAAUUCAUAUUUAGUUGUUUCUUUUACAUAAAAGAGUUGUAAGAGCGUUGAAAAAAAAUAAUAGACAGAGUUUUAUGCAUCACAAGCGCACACACAUAUAUAUACAUCCUUAUAUUAUACAUCGUAAAUAAAAAAAGCAAAAGAUGGUUUCAUCAGAGUUUGAAAAUAGUAAAAUUAAGCUUCCUUAUGAAAACGAAAUUACGAAACAAAUCGUAAAUAAAAUUUUGGAUAAUUUAAAUGAUAAGCAACAAACGGCAUAUGUUGGAUAUAGCAUGAAUAAAAACCAAAUCGUAAAAUACUUUCAUGAAGCUGAGCAGUUAUUCAUUUAUCAUGACAUUAACAAAUCAGGUGAAAUCGACAUAAAAUUAUUUCCACAAAUGGCUAGACAACUAAAACAAGUUUAUAGUAUAAGAGAUGUUAAAGAAUUUGAAAAAGAAAUGUACAUAAAAAAAAUUGAUAAAAUGAAUUUGCCAAUUUUUUUGACAUUAUUAAAAAGAAGAAUGAAUCAACUUAUUGAUAGUGAUGAAACUUUUUUUAAACAUUUUAAUAUAUUAGAUAUGAAAAAAGAAAACAAAAUUGAUCUUAAAAAAGUAAGUGGUUUUAUUAAAACCGUGGGGGAUAAGGUAAAUUCAGAAAAUUAUGAAUUUUUUAUUAAAUACAAUUUGGAAAAUAAUAAAAUGAUACAACCAAAAGAUAUUGUAUUAAAUGAACAAAAUAAACCAACUGCACUUUUUUUUCCUGCCUACAAAAAUAUGUUAACUUUUUAUAAAUAUCUUUAGUCUAAUUAAAGAAAAAAUGAAAAAAAAAAAAAAAAAAAACACAUCUAUAUAUAUAUAUACAAAUACGUACAAUACAUACAUGUUCCCUUUAAGUAGGCAAUUUUAAUCAUUAAACAUAUUUUUUUAUUUUUUUUAUUUUCCUGUACUGUAAUUAAAACUUUGUGUUAAUCGAUUUGGGUAUAACUAACAUUUGGGCAAUCAUAAAUAGUUAUUUUUAUGGUUAAGUCUGGUUUGGUACUUGUUUUGUUUUUUAAAUACAAAAAUGCCAAUAUA
rnacentral:lncRNA from 1 species